UACGAAGGGGGCGAGCGUUGUUCGGAAUUACUGGGCGUAAAGGGCGCGCAGGCGGCUCUGAAAGUCAGAUGUGAAAGCCCCGGGCUUAACCUGGGAAUUGCAUUUGAUACUCUGGAGCUUGAGUACGGGAGAGGAGAGUGGAAUUCCCAGUGUAGAGGUGAAAUUCGUAGAUAUUGGGAAGAACACCGGUGGCGAAGGCGGCUCACUGGACCACAACUGACGCUGAGGCGCGAAAGCUAGGGGAGCAAACAGG
rnacentral:rRNA from 1 species